rnacentral:rRNA from 1 species
AUGUUGCGGUACAAGUUUGUUUCUCACAAAUUUCAUGAUUUUGCAAGUGAAGCCGCAAGCGAUCCGGAAUGUAUCUUGUUGGUGGACAAUGCAUUGGACAUCCUUGCCAAGCAAGUACGGGAAAAACUGAGGAUAUCUAGAAGUAUUUUGAGUGAAUCCUCUAAUGUGCAGCCUAAUGUUCAACAAGAUGAGGGUUUGCUUAGUUCUGCACGCCUCAAGAAAAAAAGAGGUUCAACCGAAAAGUUCAAAGAGACAUAA